GGGAGGCCCGGGCCAGGCUCCCCAGGGCUGACUUCUGGCAUCUUGCAGGGGAGCCCAAGGGUGGGGUGGAGGCCAGCCUGCAGGAAUGGUGUUGAGCAUCAUGCGCGCCCCCUUCUGCUAUGGAAGUGUAUUUGGGCAGCGGCGGAGGGGGGACCCCCUUGUGAAAAUGCACCUGGGGCCUUGGACGCAGCAGCUCUCGCCUCCUUCCUGGAGGAAUCCCUUUCCUUGACCCAUUCAGGUAUCAUUUGGCAUGGAACCAAAAUGUAACCUUUUCAUUUGAAGGAAACAAAAACCCAUUUAUCAUGGGAUUGCAUGUAAAGGGGAGCCGAGAGGCAGCCCCGGAAUGCCUGUGUAAGUUCUGACUGCCCCCAAAGGGCCAUUAAUCUCAGGGUUACGCAGGAGCCACGGAUCCAGAAUCGGGGGUGGCGGGAGGGACAAGUUCUUCCUUUGUUUCCCACCCAUUGAAUUCUUUUCCUGGAGCUCAUCAUGAAGCCGUAUGCCAGAGGGCUUGGGAGUGGGGGCAUCUCAAACACCCCCACCCCUUGGCCUGUGGCCCUUUUCCUGCAUUGCCCAUUCCUGGCCACAAUGUUCUCAGGAACAUGGCGCAUGGGUGCUGACAGCUCAUGUGCAGGAGAGGACCACGGCUCUUGCAGGAGCCCAGCCAUCAAACGGAGCAGCCAGGCAGGGGCUGUGGUCAGAGUUCAGGGCAGCACUUGCGCCCAGGGCCUGAGCCUCCCUGGGCCUCGGCACCCGGCUUCCUUCUGGGAGGCCUUAGGUGGUCCUCGGCACCUAGAUUUGAAUGCACCUUAUUGCUCUCUCAAACUGCAAAUUGUAACUCGGAGGAGGCUGAGGGUGAAGAGGCUCCUCCUUGUCCUUCUCUGAACUCACUUCGUCUUCCAGCGACUACGAUCACCUGACUGUCUGAGCGCAGAUACCUCUGUCAAUGCCAAUCCACUUGGAAGUGUGCAGUGUCUUUUUAACUUCCUCAAUAGAUUUAUUGACUGUGACACUUUAUGUAACACUUCUAAAUGUCUGGAAUAAAAAUGACACAGCUAA